CGACUCUCGGCAACGGAUAUCUCGGCUCUCGCAUCGAUGAAGAACGUAGCGAAAUGCGAUACUUGGUGUGAAUUGCAGAAUCCCGUGAACCAUCGAGUUUUUGAACGCAAGUUGCGCCCAAAGCCAUUAGGCUAAGGGCACGUCUGCCUGGGCGUCAC
rnacentral:rRNA from 24 species